GAUGAACGCUAGCGAUAGGCUUAACACAUGCAAGUCGAGGGACCGGCGCACGUGUGCGUAACGCGUAUGCAACUUGCCUCACAGAGGGGGAUAACCCGUCGAAAGACGGACUAAUACCGCGUACUGUGAGCUAGGCAUGCGUCCCAUUCGUGAGUUGGUGAGGUAACGGCUCACCAAGGCAACGAAGGGUAGGGGAACGGAGAGGCUGAACCCCCACACUGGUACUGCGGCACGGACCAGACUCGUACGGGAGGCAGCAGUGAGGAAUAUUGGUCAAUGGGCGAUAGCCUGACCCAGCCAAGUCGCGUGAAGGAUGAUUGUCUAUGGAUUGUAAACUUCUUUUGUAGGGGAAUAUGUACCCUACGAAUAAGCAUCGGCUAACUCCGUGCCAGCAGCCGCGGUAAUAC
rnacentral:rRNA from 1 species